rnacentral:rRNA from 1 species
AAAUUACCCAAUCCUAAUACAGGGAGGUAGUGACAAGAAAUAACAAUACAGGACUUUUUGGUUUUGUAAUUGGAAUGAGUUAAGUAUAAACCCCUUUACAAGUAUCAAUUGGAGGGCAAGUCUGGUGCCAGCAGCCGCGGUAAUUCCAGCUCCAAUAGCGUAUAUUAAAGUUGUUGCAGUUAAAAAGCUCGUAGUUGGAUUUCUGUUAAUAAUUUAUAUAAAAUAUUUUGAUGAAUAUUUAUAUAAUAUUAACAUAAUUCAUAUUACUAUAUAUUUUAGUAUAUGAAAUUUUACUUUGAGAAAAUUAGAGUGCUUAAAGCAGGCAUAUGCCUUGAAUCCUCCAGCAUGGAAUAAUAUUAAAGAUUUUUACCUCUCUUAUUGGUUCUAAGAUAAGAAUAAUGAUUAAUAGGG